AGUUAAAUCUGCAAAAUGCCGCUCAAGGGAGUCGGCAGCAGGAAAUUUAAAUAAGCAGUCAAGUGCCAGGCAGUACUCACAGUCUUCAUUGCCAUGUCUUCCUUGAUGUCAUCUCUGCUAUUGUGGAAGCCUCCAGAGGAAGUAGUCAGGGCUGGGCCCAUGAGGGAAACACCUUGCCAAUGAUUGGGUGGGGCUCUUCUCCAAAACACGGGUGGCUUCCUCCACACCCAGUAAAGGUUGGAAGCCCAUGGGUAGCCUCGGUUUAGAGAAAAUUUAGUUAUAUGCUCGCAACAAUUCAACGCUUGGCCCUGUAUUGCCAGAGAUGAGUCUGAACUGCAUAAGCCUAUUAGCCAAUUAGAGAUGAAAUUGGGGCACUGAAAUGGCCAGUGGCUGCAGGGUGCCAUGUUGUCCUGGUAAAGCUGGCUCCCCAAGUCCAACCCUUGGCACAGAGGGCCCAGCAGCUCGCCUCCGCAACCAGCACAAAUCUAGAGGAACUCUGCUUGGCUCCGAGUGAGACAGGCUGGGACCUGAGAUCUCUGCCAGAGUGCCUGCACCUGGACAAACGUCUCCUUAAGCAACAGGAUACAAAACAGCCACAAGGCACAGGUGCAGAGAUGAAGGACUGUGUAUGACCCUUGCAGACGGCCCUCCACAAAGGGCGGAUCCUUGCACCAGGCACCCUCAGAGGGCUGGAGAGCCCACCCAAACUACACCUCCAACCAAGCUCCCACGCCUACCCUCACCCUAUUUAAGGGACCAGCUAGCUCUCUGGAGAAAAAGAGCAAGAGCACCUGCUUCCUAUUGCUGCCUCCGUGUGCUGUAGCUUAAGCCCUAGCAAGUCCUUGCCCGAAAUCCAUGUGGCCUCAUCAAUUUCUAUUGAUUAAAGGGUCCAAGCGUCCAGGUCCGUAACACUAGGACCUGAGCCCUCGCCCUGGUCUCUGCCUGGAGGAAAAAGGCAGAGCCCUUCCAUCCUGGUUAGCUCACCUUGCCAAAACAUGAGGGAUUUUCACAUGUGACCGUAGCCCAUCACCUCCAGAACUGAUACCCAGGAGGGUCUCCUUUAGAGAAUAAUUGGAAACACACCCAUCUCAGACUGGGGCCUUUAGUUGGCAACUGAGUCUCUGUAGGGAGCAUCUGACCUUUUACAGCACUGAUGAUUUAGGGUAGGGAUUUCCAGCAACCAGCAGCAACAUUACUGUUAGCACUGGUUUCUUCCCACAGAGACUGAGUAGUAUGGAGAGAAAGUUAGUAUGCCAUUCACAGCUCCAAGACAUUGAAUAGGGAUGCAAAUUGUUCCCACCAUCCUAUCCUCCUUGUCGCCAAUUGUGUUGAGAAGAACACACUGGUAUAUUGAAUUAAGAAUGCUAUGCUAUGCUAUGCUGAGUCACUUCAGUCGUGUCCGACUCUGUGCGACCCCAUAGAUGGCAGCCCACCAGGCUCCCCCGUCCCUGGGGUUCUCCAGGCAAGAACACUGGAGUGGGUUGCCAUUUCCUUCUCCAAUGCAUGAAAGUGAAAAGUGAAAGUGAAGUUGCUCAGUCGUGUCCGACUCUUAGCG
ensembl:lncRNA